UGGAUCCUGUGGUGCCAUCCUGCACUGAGGGACUUUAUCUGCCCAAGUUUCUGCCUCCAACCCCAGCCAACAGAGCUCGGCUGUACACUCCUGCCAAUCAGACCCUGGAAAUCAGCAUCAAGGCAGAGGCAAAUGUCUCCACAAUUACUGAGCUGCUGUUCAGCGGGCCGCACAACACAAACCAGACAAAUUCAGGAGCAGGACAGUACAUCCUGAGAUGGACGCCGUCUGAAAACGAAGAUGGAGAAAGCCACCCCAUCUGCUUUGUCAUCCAGGCAGUUUUCAGUACAACCAAGUAUCACUCGGAGCUACGUUGUGUGAUUGUGAGUGUUGGAAACGGUGAGUGGAACCAUUCUUUAUUUUUUGUGUUUUAAAUUACGUUGCUGAUUUCCUGGAUUGGUAAAAUUUACUUGUCACUUCUGUUUACAGCCCCAACAACAACUACAACCAUUGAUCCAACUACAACAACCACACAAAGUACAACCACCAUUCCCUCAACAGCUAUCCCACUACCUACAACCACUACCCCAUCCACAACUACUACACCACAAAUUACAACAACUACACCACCAACUACAACCACUACCCCAUCCACAACUACUACACCACAAAUUACAACAACUACACCACCAACUACAACCACUACCCCAUCCACAACUGCUACACCACAAAUUACAACAACUACUGCACCAACUACCACCACACAAACGACUGUUCCCUCAACAACUACCCCACCAACUACAACCACUACCCCAUCCACAACUACUACACCACAAAUUACAACAACUACUGCACCAACUACCACAAAAACGACUGUCCCUCAACAACUACCACCAACUACAACCACUACCCCAUCCACAACUACUACACCACAAAUUACAACAACUACACCACCAACUACAACCACACCCCAUCACAACUACUACACCACCAACUACAACCACUACCCCAUCCACAACUGCUACACCACAAAUUACAACAACUACUGCACCAACUACAACCACUACCCCAUCCACAACUGCUACACCACAAAUUACAACAACUACCGCACCAACUACAACCACUACCCCAUCCACAACUACUACACCACAAAUUACAACAACUACACCACCAACUACAACCACUACCCCAUCCACAACUGCUACACCACAAAUUACAACAACUACACCACCAACUACAACCACUACCCCAUCCACAACUACUACACCACAAAUUACAACAACUACACCACCAACUACAACCACUACCCCAUCCACAACUACUACACCACAAAUUACAACAACUACUGCACCAACUACCACCACACAAACCACCUUUCCCUCAACAACUACCCCACUAGGUACGACCACAAUCAAUGAAACCACUACAGCUCCUUCUACAACCACUACACCAACUACAACACCAACACCUGUAACCGAAGCCUCGAACCAAAUUGUUGCAGCUCUGAAAAUAAGGAUUACCUCUACGUCUCCCCUGUCUGAGGACUACAUCAGAAAUACUGGCCUACAACAGAUUAAAGAUGAACUGGUGAGACGAGGGCUGCCAUCAAACAUCACUCUACGGCUUGUGAGUAGUGUGCAACUGCAACCUACAACCACAGCGCCCCCUGUUGUUUCAACGUGA
rnacentral:lncRNA from 1 species